UCCGCAAGAUCAACUGUUCAGAUUAAUCUUCAAUAAUGCAAUGGAUGAACAAUUCGGUAAACCUUCAUACAACUGCCAGCACUUGGAUGCAGUGACCAAAUAUGCCUAUUAACUGGACGUUACUUCAAGCUUGCAUAUAGGGCAGAAGGUGCCCCAUUUUGUGAGCCAGGAAUCAAUACAGAUCUUGUGAAAUUCUGUAUGAAAUUGUCCAUGAUAAGGUAGUGGGAGAGCUAUAAGAAAAUAAGUUUUGGGCACAUUGCUGAUAACAGAAAUCAUUGUCUGUUGGUCUACAAAAUCAUUGUCUACCUUGUAAAGGAAUGAAUUAUGCAAAAGAGAGCAAGAUAUGCAUCUACCCAUCAGGGUUACUGUAUAUAUCAUUAUAUUGGCAAAUUUCUAUCUACCACUGAGAAAAAACAGUAACAAUUAUAAGAACGACUGGGCACCACAUCUUUGGAACCUACUGAGUCAGCAAUAAUUAUAAACAGUAAGCAAGUACUAAAAUAUCUCAAGAUCUUACCAUGUUUGCAUGGAAGGUGUCUAAGCAUAUCGCCAUUAUUGUAGUCUUCUAAACAAAUUGCACAAGCUUCCUGAAAAAUAUCUUCGCUAGAACAGGGAGCACUAUAUGCUGAGCAUGGAAGCUUUUCCACCACAUGUUUCUUGACGUAAGGUGGGUGAUUAUCA
rnacentral:lncRNA from 1 species